AUCAAUGAACAAUGGUGCACCCUAGAGGAGUGAACAUGGGAACACAUGUGCAUUUUGGUAUUUUUGUUUUGGCUAAAAUCUUAAUGCACUUGUGUUCUCAGGUCACCCCUUUGGGGUCACCUUGCUAAUUUUUUAAUUUUUACCUUAUAUUUUUUUUCUUCUUAAGCCGGGGAGUUGUCGGAAGUCACUCUAUUUACACAAGAUAAGGAUAAGAUCUGCAUACACAUUAUCCUCCCCAGACCCCACUUAUGAGAUUAUACUGACUACAUUGGAUCCCCAAUUAAUUUAAAUUCGCAGCACACAAGAUCCAUUAAAGAAGAAGUUCUAAAGUUCGUAACACUCGAACUCAAGAUCUCUAGUUAAAAAUAAAGAGAUUUUAUCUAUCCCACCAUAAUUCUUGAUUUAAAUGUCAUCGGAUCGGAAUCUUUUUUCAUCAGAAGUUCAUCCAAAGAGCUGGAUUCCAACUGCAGCUAAUAGCUUGUUUAAUUUCCGAUGGCCUUUCGGCCGAUUUUUUGGCUGAAAUUUCCGGAAAAUCCAGCAGUGUGUUGCAUUAUUUAUUUGAGAAUGAUGUAUCAUAGCAAAAUAUCUUUUUAUUCCUAAUUCUGUGGCCAAUGUUCGUUCUGAUUUAUCCUAUAAAUCCUUAUUUAUAAUAUAUUUCGAAUUUAGAAGGUG